rnacentral:lncRNA from 1 species
CCAUCAACUAUCUUCGAAGAGAACAAAGAUCAGAGUAUGUAGCAAAUACAAUUCGCCGCAUAUUAGAUUUUCUCAAUAUAUAAUCAUUAUGAUCUUUAAUUGCUACAUCUUAAGGAACAAUCUGUCACGGACAUACAUAUAAUUACCUAUAUGAAUAGAUAAAAGUAUGUAAAAGUAGGUUAAUUGUGUAAUAUCUUCUAGAGAAGCUUCUUAGAAGCUUCAUAGACGCUGCUUUGACUUUAUAGGAGUCUAUAGUUGACUUUUAGGUUAGAAACUUGGUCAACAAGUUAGCCAUGUGCCACGCAUGUUAGAAGCUUAAAGAACAAGCUAACUAUGUGGUCCAUCCAUAGAAAACUUGCCUUGCAAGCAAAGGCAUGUGGCCUAGAAAGUCAACAUAUAUUGGAGGUCUUAUAGAACAUCGCCACGUGGCUUCUAGUUAGAUAGUAUAUAUAGAGGCAAGAGUGAAGCCCUCUUCACUCUUGUCAACUCCUUUCUUGCUUCUAGUCUAGUUUCAAGGGUCUCUAGUUUUCUUGUAUUUUGGCAAUAGCCAUUCCAGUUUCUUUCUUAAUAUACAUAUUUUGUCCUAUUUCUUUUUGAGAAAAGUCUCA